rnacentral:rRNA from 1 species
UCUGGAAACGGAUGGUAAUACCUCAUAACAUAACGAAGCCGCAUGACUUUGUUAUCAAAGAUUUAUCACUCAGAGAUGGGCUCGCGUCUGAUUAGAUAGUUGGUGAGGUAACGGCUCACCAAGUCGACUAUCAGUAGCCGGACUGAGAGGUUGAACGGCCACAUUGGGACUGAGACACGGCCCAGACUCCUACGGGAGGCAGCAGUGGGGAAUAUUGCACAAUGGGGGAAACCCUGAUGCAGCGAUGCCGCGUGGAGGAAGAAGGUUUUCGGAUUGUAAACUCCUGUCUUAAAGG